rnacentral:rRNA from 1 species
GAUCCUGGCUCAGAACGAACGCUGGCGGCAUGGCUAAAACAUGCAAGUCGGACGCGAACGUCCCUUCGGGGAACAAGUAGAGUGGCGAAAGGGCGAGUAACGCAUGGGUAACGUACCCUUAACACAGGGAUAGCCUCGGGAAAUCGUGGAUAAUACCUGAUAAGACCACAGCGCCGUAUGGCGUAGCGGUCAAAUGGCGGGGAUCCUUCGGGACCUGCCGGUUUUGGAGCGGCCCAUGUCCUAUCAGCUUGUUGGUGAGGUGAUGGCUCACCAAGGCAACGACGGGUAGCGGGACUGAGAGGUUGGCCCGCCGCAUCGGGACUGAGACACUGCCCGGACUCCUACGGGAGGCUGCAGUAACGAAUAUUGUCCAAUGGGCGCAAGCCUGAGACAGCAAUGCCGCGUGCGGGAGGAAGUCCUUCGGGAUGUAAACCGCUGUCAGGGGCUACCAAGUAAAGAGGGUUAACAGCUCUCUGCGCUGAGGAGCCCCAGAGGAAGCCACGGCUAACUUCGUGCCAGCAGCCGCGGUAAUACGAAGGUGGCGAGCGUUGUUCGGAAUCACUGGGCUUAAAGAGCACGUAGGCGGACCUUCAAGCGUCUUGUGAAAUCCCUCGGCUCAACCGAGGAAUUGCGAGGCGAACUGUUGGUCUUGAGGCAGGCAGGGGCGCGCGGAACUCUUGGUGGAGCGGUGGAAUGCGUAGAUAUCAAGAGGAACGCCAGAGGCGAAGGCGGCGCGCUGGGCCUGUCCUGACGCUGAGGUGCGAAAGCCAGGGGAGCGAACGGGAUUAGAUACCCCGGUAGUCCUGGCCCUAAACGAUGUCCACUAGGUCGACGGCUCUCUGACGAGUUAUCGGGCGAAACAAAAGCGAUAAGUGGACCGCCUGGGGAGUACGGUCGCAAGGCUAAAACUUCAAGGAAUUGACGGCGGCUCACACAAGCG